UUUCUGCAGUUCCAGUCCCCUGUUAGGCUGUCGGUUCCCCACUGGAUGGCAGUCCCUGCAACCUUAUUCACUCUGGGAAGGAAAGUCCAGCUUUGAAGCAGCAAGCUGAAAUCUCAGACUGCUCUCUAGAUGAAUAUGUACGUGAAAUGCCACAGCUAUAUCAGCAUGAAGAGACCUCCCCUGCAGAGCUGUCUCUCCUGGACAUCUCUGGAAGCUGAAGCCUACGGAGACAACACGACACAGUCCAGGCAUACAAGUCAGUGGGAAAUGCAAAGGACAUCUAGAACUGCACUUCUCUACAAAAGCAGAAGAAAAGAGAAAGAAGGAAGUGAGAAAAGGGCAAGAGUGGCCACAACUGAAGCAAGGACAUCACCUGGGGUGACAGCAGCACUCGCAGCCCUCCGAGCCACAUGCUCAGCCUGGCAGAGCACAGCACAUGGAGCUGGAAGUACCUCCUCUUGGAAAGGAGGAAAGAUAUUUUUAGUCCUUCCAAGAGUCUAAAACAGAGCUAGAUAAGAUUAAUGGACAUUUGUGGGGAUUAGCAAAAGUUAAUAGGAGAGGCCAAACCUUUCCACCUACAAGUGAUUGCAUUUUUGAGGUAAUGGGAAGGGAAACAAUGUGGAGUGUUCUGUUUGUCUAAAAUCUUUUGGGAUUUAGAAAAUCCAAACAUUUAAAUAAUGUGUUGAAGAAAUUACAGCUGCUCCCCAGUGUUUUUUUAAACCUUUUGUUCAGGGAGUCUAAUGCAAAUGAAUGCCUUCUUAAACAAGGGUGAUGAAAAAUAUACCAUUUUGAAAUAAUUAUUAUGUUCUGUCAUUUCUGAACAAGUUGGAUCUGUGUAAAAGGGACACACAUUUUCCAGCCUGCACUGUUACUUGUGGCACUGUAAACACCUUUCUUUCUCAGGAGUUCAGGUUUAUUUUUCACCUUCAGAACGCCAGAAAAGGGAGAAUGGUGAUUUUCAGCUUUAUUUCUUCCCAUGGUGCCUCUGAACUUGCCUAAGCAAUAGUUUCAACUUUUGGUUAAUACACAGGUCCCUGCAACUUUUCCUGAGUGAGGAAAGGCUCCAAGCUUUGCAGCAAAGCUUCCUCCUUACAUAACUUGUGGAUUCCCACAGCUUGUGCUGCCUGUUUAGAAAAGAUAAUAGAAGAGACGCUGUUUUGAAGGGGAAAGACACAUCAAGAAUAGGAAGGUGAGAUUUCUUACUGCGCACUGCAGGGAAAUGGAACACGUGGCAGAGGCCCUCAUUUUUGUGUGAAUGUCUGAAACAACUUGCUCUGGACUUCCAGCUCCAGGCUGGCACAAAGCAGCAUACACGUUUCCCAAUCCAGACAGACUAGAAGAGUUUUUUUGCACCAACAUUAAGAACUUUAUAGCUAUUCAAAAUCAGCACCAAUGGUUGGAUUAAUAU